GUGUUAAAGCAUAUAAGAUGUAC
rnacentral:siRNA from 1 species